rnacentral:rRNA from 1 species
CAGCCGCCACGGGAAUACGGAGGGUGCAAGCGUUAAUCGGAAUUACUGGGCGUAAAGCGCACGCAGGCGGUCUGUCAAGUCGGAUGUGAAAUCCCCGGGCUCAACCUGGGAACUGCAUUCGAAACUGGCAGGCUAGAGUCUUGUAGAGGGGGGUAGAAUUUCAGGUGUAGCGGUGAAAUGCGUAGAGAUCUGGAGGAAUACCGGUGGCGAAGGCGGCCCCCUGGACAAAGACUGACGCUCAGGUGCGAAAGCGUGGGGAGCAAACAGGAUUAGAUACCCCUGUAGUCCCUGUCUCUUAUAC